GGGGUAGUAAAGGUUUCGACGGGGGUUAUGAAGCUGGAGAAGCUAUCCGCAGGCUGAUGCGUCAAAUCGCAAAUUAAAAAUAAACGCUGAAGAUAAUUUAGCACUCGCUGCUUAAUUGCAGCUGUCCGCUUCCGGGCACCCGCACCCGGAAAUCCGGGCAUCGAUGAUGCGGGAAACGACAUAUGUUAAGCUUUGCGCAUAUGGGCGUAUCAUGAAGCUACUGAAAACAGGAGGCCGUCCGCUGCCGCCUGCCGGAGGGAAUGUCAAACAGCUGACUAUGAUAGUAGAAGGACAGUGAAUUGGCUUUCGGACACGAGUUCGAUUCUCGUCUACUCCA
rnacentral:tmRNA from 1 species